GGGUGUGUAGUUUAUAUAAGAACAUCGGUUUUGUAGUCCGGAAGUGGGAUGGUUCCCCUCACCCU
rnacentral:tRNA from 1 species